rnacentral:rRNA from 1 species
CCAGCAGCUGCGGUAAUUCCAGCUCCAAUAGCGUAUAUUAAAGUUGUUGCGGUUAAAAAGCUCGUAGUUGGAUCUCGGCGGCCAGGGGGUGGUUCGCUCUACGGCGUUACUGCCCCAUUUGGCCGUGUGAUUGGCGGAGGUUUAGAGGUGCUCUUGAUCGAGUGUCUCUAGAUGCCAGCAGGUUUACUUUGAAAAAAUUAGAGUGCUCAAAGCAGGCUAUUCCGCCUGAAUAUUCGUGCAUGGAAUAAUAGAAUAGGAUGUCGAUCCUAUUUUGUUGGUUUUCGGGACUCGACAUAAUGAUUAAUAGGGACAAUUGGGGGCAUUUGUAUUCAAACGACAGAGGUGAAAUUCUUGGACCGUUUGAAGACAAACUACUGCGAAAGCAUUUGCCAAGAAUGUUUUCAUUAAUCAAGAACGAAAGU